AGUGAACGCUGGCGGUAGGCCUAACACAUGCAAGUCGAACGGCAGCAUAGUAAGAGCUUGCUCUUACGGGUGGCGAGUGGCGGACGGGUGAGGAAUACAUCGGAAUCUACUUUUUCGUGGGGGAUAACGUAGGGAAACUUACGCUAAUACCGCAUACGACCUACGGGUGAAAGCAGGGGAUCUUCGGACCUUGCGCGAUUGAAUGAGCCGAUGUCGGAUUAGCUAGUUGGCGGGGUAAAGGCCCACCAAGGCGACGAUCCGUAGCUGGUCUGAGAGGAUGAUCAGCCACACUGGAACUGAGGCACGGUCCAGACUCCUACGGGAGGCAGCAGUGGGGAAUAUUGGACAAUGGGCGCAAGCCUGAUCCAGCCAUACCGCGUGGGUGAAGAAGGCCUUCGGGUUGUAAAGCCCUUUUGUUGGGAAAGAAAAGCAGCAGGUUAAUACCCCGCUGUUCUGACGGUACCCAAAGAAUAAGCACCGGCUAACUUCGUG
rnacentral:rRNA from 1 species